AGGUUACUGCUAUCGGUGUUCGCUCAAGCCAUGCGAGUCAUAUGUUCUUCGUGAACAUGGCGUACUGCUCAGUAACACGUGGAUAACCUGCCCUUGGGUCCGGCAUAACCCCGGGAAACUGGGGAUAAUUCCGGAUAACGCACAUAUGCUGGAAUGCUUUAUGCGUCAAAUGGAUUCGUCCGCCCAAGGAUGGGUCUGCGGCCUAUCAGGUAGUAGUGGGUGUAAUGUACCUACUAGCCUACGACGGGUACGGGUUGUGAGAGCAAGAGCCCGGAGAUGGAUUCUGAGACAUGAAUCCAGGCCCUACGGGGCGCAGCAGGCGCGAAAACUUUACAAUGCGGGAAACCGUGAUAAGGGGACACCGUGUGCCAGCAUCAUAUGCUGGCUGUCCGGGUGUGUAAAAUACACCUGUUAGCAAGGGCCGGGCAAGACCGGUGCCAGCCGCCGCGGUAACACCGGCGGCCCGAGUGGUGAUCGUGAUUAUUGGGUCUAAAGGGUCCGUAGCCGGUUUGGUCAGUCCUCCGGGAAAUCUGACAGCUUAACCGUUAGGCUUUCGGGGGAUACUGCCAGACUUGGAACCGGGAGAGGUAAGAGGUACUACAGGGGUAGGAGUGAAAUCUUGUAAUCCCUGUGGGACCACCUGUGGCGAAGGCGUCUUACCAGAACGGGUUCGACGGUGAGGGACGAAAGCUGGGGGCACGAACCGGAUUAGAUACCCGGGUAGUCCCAGCCGUAAACGAUGCUCGCUAGGUGUCAGGCAUGGCGCGACCGUGUCUGGUGCCGCGGGGAAGCCGUGAAGCGAGCCACCUGGGAAGUACGGCCGCAAGGCUGAAACUUAA
rnacentral:rRNA from 1 species